GCAAGUCGAGGGGUAAGGCUCACUUCGGUGAGUACACGACCGGCGCACGGGUGCGUAACGCGUAUGCAACCUACCUUUAACAGAGAGAUAGCCCCGAGAAAUCGGGAUUAAUAUCACAUAACGUCCUUUUAUGGCAUCAUAUAAGGAUCAAAGCUCCGGCGGUUAAAGAUGGGCAUGCGUGACAUUAGUUAGUUGGUGAGGUAACGGCUCACCAAGGCUACGAUGUCUAGGGGUUCUGAGAGGAUGAUC
rnacentral:rRNA from 1 species